UGAAACUACAGGGUUAUUUGCUGAGCAGAGAACUGGUCAUGGGUUUUCUGUGCCAGUUCACAGUCAGAGGAAAACAUGGGGGAGAUCUCACAAUGUCAGAUGUGAGCUGGAGGAAUGUCAGCAAUACCAGUUGCUGGCUCAGCAGAGCGGACUAGGCUUCAGUUUAUGUGAGCACAUUCGCUCACUAGAUUACUGCAGAGAAACUGUAAAAGAGGUAUUUCUUCAAGAGCAUAUCGUGAUGGAAAUGGUGGACCUAAAAUUCUUUGGAGAGGCCAAAGCUGCGGCAUGUAUAAGGAGACAGAAAGCUGCCCAAAUGGUACGUGCUCCACUUUGAGUGAGGGUGGAUUUUGGUGGAUCCUCAACACAGAUAUGUUUCUCUGUACAUGAGCCAGAAAUACACAGUUUCUGCCAUCUAGGCAGAAUAUUUGUGACUUACAAUGCUCUGAGGAAUACCUGGCAUUGUGCUUGUGCAAAGCCACGAAUAUCACGCCCUCAUAAAAACAUUGGUAAAUGGCAUCUCUUUAAAACACAGAGAGACAUCUUCUAAUCAACUGUGCCACUAUUAUCAGGCACCCCAUCACAGAUGACUCAGGAGGGUUCUUCUUUUAAAGACAAUGCUGCUGUCGAAGGGAGUAUCCACUUUAUUUUUAAAGAGGAAAAAAUUCCUGAAUCUCUUCCAGAAAAUGUCAUCUCACAGUUUCUGAUCAUCAGAAACAACUCUUUCCAUUUGAAACUUUGUGCCAGGUGUGCCCAGAGCACCCUAAACUUGACGAGGCUGUUCUAAUUACCAAUAAAGCGAGGAUUGUCCGCAUGAUCGGAGUGAUUGAGAGUAAGUUGUAAUGAAUCAGAUUAAAUCUCAGUGUGGAAUAAUUAUUUAUAAUUGUUCCUAUAUUAAUGUGAUUUGUCUUUAACAGAUAAGAUAAGAUAAGAUGGCCUUUAUUAGUCCCACAGGUGGGAAAUUUGUUUUGUUACAGCAAAAGUGCAAAGUUAUGUAGCAGAAAUUAGAAAACACUGGAAUGCAAUAAAAUACAAUAAAAUAAAAUAAAAUACUAUAUACAAUAGAAUAAAAUAGAAUAGAAUAAUAUAUACAAUAGAAUAAAAUAGAAAUACAAAUACUAUAUACAACUGAGUAGGAAAAUACAAAAACACAACUUCGUCAGAAGAAGAAUUGCACGUAUAGCAGUCUUAUUGCACAUGUGUGGGUUUGUGUGUUUGAUCAGCUGCAAAAGUCUUUAUUGUAGAGUCUGACAGCAGUGGGGAGGAAAGACCUGCGAAAUCUCUCCGUCCCGCACCGUGGGUGCCGCAGUCUCCCACUGAAGGAGCUGCUCAGUGCUGUCACAGUCUCAUGCAUGGGGUGGGAGAUGUUGUCCAACAGGGAUGACAGCUUAGCCACCAUUCUCCUGUCACUCACCACCUCCACUGGGUCCAGAGGGCAUCCUAGAACAGAGCUGGCCCUCUGGAUCAGCCUGUUCAGAUGUUUCAACUUACCAUAGAUUGUGUCCUUAGUGCCACAUGUUGUACAGAUACCAGGAGUGGACAGAUGGGCUUCAUAACUUUGACAACCACAUUGUUUUGUCUCUUGAACUCUGCCUUUUUCUGAGAGAAAAUCUGCAGAACCAUGUAUCCGCUUCAAGGGUAUUUGACUCAUUGGAGGGCUUAAGAAGAGUGAAGUUUCCUUCUAGGGAUACCAUAUUUCAUGCCUAUUGCCAUUUUGAUGCUUUGACUGACACAGAGUACAUGUAGUCCUGCAUAAACUGUGGGUUUCACCCCCCUGUGGUAGUUAUGGACUUACACAGAAAAGGGGUGUUCAACUUAGCAGUGACCUCAAAGCCCCUCCAGAAGACUUCAAUGGUGAACAUGACAUUGAAGGUUUUUUGAACUCUAUUCACCUGGAGAUGAUAAGCUGUGGGUUUUUUCCAAGCGGCGUGGAGAAUCCAUUUUCAGUUCUACCAAGUUACACACACUGGGCACCAUGGAUCGGGAGUGAAACUCGAACAAGUGACAUUGUGCUUAACACAGAGUUUAAAAACGUAAGAACAAGCUCUUCACAUGAAGCACAGCUUAGCAGUGUCACAGAAGACCGUCUCUUUGAUGAACUCACUAAACAAAAGCAUGUCUUUAUCCUGUUUUCCUUCUCUCACCCCAACCGGUCGCAGCAGAUGGCCCCGCCCCUCCCUGAGCCUGGUUCUGCCGGAGGUUUCUUCCUGUUAAAAGGGAGUUUUUCCUUCCCACUGUUGCCAAAGUGCUUGCUCAUAGGGGGUCAUAUGAUUGUUGGGUUUUUCUCUGUAUCUAUCAUUAUAGGAUAUACUGUACAAUAUGAAGCGCCUUGAGGCAACUUUUGUUUUGAUUUGGCGCUAUAGAAAUAAAAUUGAAUUGAACUGAAAUUGAAUUGAAUUGUUUUAAAUUUUUCUGGUCACCUUACAUAGCAAUACCAACAAUAACCAUUAGAUGGGAGCAAAGCAAAUGUUUAUGUCGUAUAAAUGUGUACUUUAUCCAAACAAUCACAUCACAAGAAGGUGUUACGGCUGGUCUAGGGGACCCGACUGCAACAAAAGGAAUGAUCCACCCCCUGCUCAACCCCAAGCAGCACAUCACACCAUAAGUUAAAAUAUGAAAUGGUUUAUUUACAGACACAAAACAAAAAUGGGUUUCACAGGACUCACUCAGGCUUCGGGGUGGACCCACGCCAAAAUAACAAACAAAAGGAAACUAACUCAAGGGAGCAACUGCUUACCUAGCCCCAAAGAAACAUAACUAAACAACAAUCACUUACCUCCCU
ensembl:lncRNA